rnacentral:rRNA from 1 species
UGGGGAAUAUUGGGCAAUGGGCGCAAGCCUGACCCAGCCACGCCGCGUGAGUGAUGAAGGCCUUCGGGUCGUAAAGCUCUGUGGGGGGCGACGAAAAAACGCUGGCUAAUAUCCAGCGGACUGACGGUAGCCCCUUAGCAAGCACCGGCUAACUCUGUGCCAGCAGCCGCGGUAAUACAGAGGGUGCAAACGUUGCUCGGAAUCAUUGGGCGUAAAGCGCACGUAGGCGGUCCGACAAGUGGGGAGUGAAAGCCCUCGGCUUAACCGAGGAAGUGCUUUCCAAACUGCCGGACUUGAGUACGCAAGAGGAUCGCGGAAUUCCCGGUGUAGAGGUGAAAUUCGUAGAUAUCGGGAGGAACACCAGCGGCGAAGGCGGCGAUCUGGGGCGAUACUGACGCUGAGGUGCGAAAGCGUGGGGAGCAAACAG